UCAGACUGUCCAUGUCUUCCUCAGUGGCCAUGCCGAUGGCUUCCUGUAAAUGCCAGACAUGAUGCUUUCCUUCAUGUCCAGAGAUGAGUUUCUAGGAGCAGCUCACAUCAGGAGGGUAAGUGAGAUACCUUUGGUCACAUUAAAGUCAAGCUCUUUGAACCUUUAUGUAUAACAACGGUUUUCAACCUGUGCAAUAGGGGAGUAAUCUUGCUCCCCUGGGGGCAUUCAGCAAUCUCGAGAGACAUUUUUGGUUGCCACAGCCUGGGGACAGGGGAGCAGUGCCAUUAGCGAGCAGAGACCAAGGCUGUUGUUAAUUAUCCUACAAUGCACAGGACAGUCCCCCGCAGGAAAGAAUUACCUGGCCCCAGAUAUCAGUAGUGCCAAGAUCGAGAAACCCCGAUGUAUGCUCUUCUUAAUUUAUUUCUUAAUCUUAUAGGGGUUUUUUUUUUUUAAGCCACCAAUUAGCAUUAGCCUUUUCAUUACCCAAAGUCUCAUUGUAAAGUGGAUAAUCUAUUUUUUUAAAUGUCUGUGAACAACUUAAAAAAAGGGCUUAUUCUCAAUAGGCAUAAAGUCACCUAUAAACAGCAGCAUAAGUUUGCAUCUGAUCUGUGAUCCAUAGGUUUUUAUAUAGCUGGGAUCCACAUAUGACUUGCAAGUCCUAGGAAUCUGUGAGAUCUAAGGGCUCACAAGAGAACUCUGCUGCCCUUUCUUCUCUGGUGGGGACGUUUAUCAGCACAGAGCGCGAGU
rnacentral:lncRNA from 1 species